CAAUUGUGUUUGAUUCGGCAAUGGAUAGCAACAGUUGGAGGGCGCCUCAAGGCCAGAUGGCUCAGGGUCCACCUCAAGGUGGUCAAGUAGGCGGCAGUGGAGAAGUAUCGGCUGUCCCAAAUCCAGCUCCGCCCGCUACUAUUGACAGCGGCGAUUGGAGGACUCAACUCCAAGCUGAUUCUCGUCAAAGAAUCGUAAAUAAGAUAAUGGAGACUUUGAAGAGGCAUCUGCCAUUCUCUGGACAAGAGGGACUGCAAGAACUUAAGAAAAUUGCUGUGAGGUUUGAGGAAAAGAUUUAUACUGCAGCAACUAGCCAGUCAGAUUAUCUGAGAAAGAUAUCUUUGAAGAUGCUGACAAUGGAAACUAAGUCCCAAAAUCCCAUGGCUAAUCCGCUACAAGCUAAUGCUGCCAAUGCAAGCAAAAAUCCUCCAGACCAAGCUGUCCAUGGCAUGCAAUCCCAAAUUCAUAACCAGCCACUUCCCAUGCCAGUGGUGAGCAGCCAAUCACAAUCCCGACAACAGCUGUUACCACAAAACAUGCAGACUAAUAUGACAUCAACUGGAGUCCAGAAUUCUGCUAUUUUGGCUUCUACACUUCCAACUGCUGGUAAUUUGCAGCAGGCUCCCAUGCCUAAUAUUGGUCAGAACUCCAAUUUGCAGAACAUGCAGAGUGUUCCCAGUGUUUCUCAGAACCCAGUAGGGAGUUCCAUGGGACAGGUGAUGCCUUCAAAUGUUUUCACUAAUUCUCAAAGACAGAUGCAGGCUAGACAACAACAGGUUGUUCCCUUGCAGCAACACCAGCAGACACAGAAUCCACAGCAUUAUCUUUAUCAACAACAGCUGCAGCAUCAGUACAUGAAAAAAAAGUUACAACAAGGAGGAGGAAUGGCACAGCCCCUUAUGCAAUCUCAUAUCCAGCAGCAGCAGCAGCAGCAGCAGCAAAAUCUUUUGCAACCAACUCAAAUUCAAACCUCCCAGCAAGCUGUUAUGCAGCCAUCUGUAAUGCAGUCAGCUCCUCUAUCUGGCCUCCAGCAGAAUCAACAGUCUUCUAUGCAACAACUGACUCAACCAGUAAUUCAGCAGCAGUCUCAAGCAGUUUUGAGGCAGCAGCAACAGCAACAGCAACAACAGCAGCAACAGUCGCAACAGGCUUCCAUGUUGCAUCAGCAGCAAACCUCCAUGGCUCAACAGCCAUUACUGCCUGCAGCACAGCAGCCACAGCAACAACAGCAGCAGCUGAUUGGGCAGCAGCCUGGUGCUACAAAUAUUCAACACAACCAGCUCAUUGGCCAACAGAAUAGCAUGCCUGAUAUGCAGCAACAGCAACAAAGGCUGAUAGGCCAGCAGAACAAUAUGCAGCAGCAGCAGCAGCUAAUAGGUCAACAGAACAGCCUUUCGAGUAUGCAUCAACAACAAUUGGCCCCUCAAAGUAGCGUUUCUGGGCUCCAUCAGCAGUCAAUGCUAGGGACUCAACCUGGUAACUCUGCCCUGCCAACAAGUCAGCAUUCUGUCAUCAUGUUACAGCAAUCUAAGGUUGCGAUACAGCAACAAAUGCAGCAGAAUGCAACAGCAUUGCUACCAAGCCAAAAUCAACAGCCACAGCAACCGCAGCAACAGAUGGUAUCACAGAUUCAAGCACAACCAGGGGGCCUACAACAUAUGCAGCAGCAGUCAAAUGCGUUGCAAAGAGAUAUGCAGCAAAAGAUUCAACCUACAGGUUCUUUGCUUCAACAGCAGAAUGUUGUAGAACAGCAGAAGCAGUUAUUUCAGCCACAAAGAGCCCAUCCUGAGGCAUCAUCAACUUCGUUAGAUUCAACAGCUCAGACGGGGAAUGCAAGUGGUGGAGAUUGGCAGGAGGAGGUUUAUCAAAAGAUUAAAUCCAUGAAGGACAUGUAUUUCCUGGAAUUAAAUGACAUGUACAUGAAAAUUGCUGGAAAGCUGCAACAGCAUGAUUCUCUUCCUCAACAACCGAGAAAUGAGCAGCUUGAAAAGCUCAAAUUCUUUAAGCUCAUGCUGGAACGCCUAAUAGGAUUCUUGCGAUGUACCAAGAAUGACAUUCAGAUCAGUCACAAGGAGAAGUUGGCUUCCAUUGAAAAACAGAUAAUCAAUAUUCUUACUACAAAUCGGCCCCGGAGGCCCGUUUCUUUGCAACAAGUGCAACUUGCCCAACAGCAAAUGUCCAACAUGCAGCACUCUCAGCCUCAGACUCAAAUUCCUCAAAUACAGCCCCAGGAAAAUCAAAUGAACCAACAGAUGCAGCCAAUGAAUGUACAGAGUUCCAUAACACCAAUGCAGCCAAAUAGCUUGACCAGCCUGCAGCAGAACACAUUGUCCUCUGUGCCACCAGUUUCGAAUUUGCAACAGAAUAUGAUGAGUACCCUACAGCCUGCUUCGACUUUGGACCCAGGACAAAGUAAUACUCACCCAUUGCAGCAGAACCAGCAGCUUAAACAACAGGAGCAGCAAAUGUUGCAAACCCAGCAAUUGAAACAACAAUUGCAUCCCCGUCAGAUGCAGCAGCAGCUUUUGCAAAGACAACAGCUAAUGCAACAACAACAGCAGCAACAACAACAGCAGCAGCAACAGCACCAACAAAUGAAGCCACAGCAGCAGCCUUCACAGCUGCCCGGACACCAAAUGUCACCACUACAUCAGGUAACUGAUUCAAGUGACUUGAAGGUGAGACCGCAGAUAAGUGUUAAAUCAAGUGUUUUCCAGCAACACCAUACCAACAGCCAGCGAGCGGCAUAUCAUCACCAACAGUUGAAGUCGGGAAGCCCAUUUCCUAUUUCUUCACCACAAGUCCUUCAGGCAGCAUCGCCUCAGGUUCCCCCUCAUGCUUCGCCUCAAAUUGAUCAGCAGAGUAUGCUGACAUCUAUAGCAAAAACUGGAACUCCAUUGCAGACUGCAAAUUCACCCUUUGUGGUCCCAUCUCCUUCGACUCCCUUGGCUCCGUCACCUAUGCCUGGCGAGUCAGAAAAACUAAAUUCUGGCAUUUCAUCCCUCUCAAAUGCUGGAAAUAUUGGACCCUCGCAUGCAACUACUGUGUCUGCAGCAGCCCAAUCACUAGCAAUUGGCACUCCUGGGAUAUCAGCUUCGCCAUUGCUUGCAGAAUUUACGAGUUUGGAUGGAGCUCAUGUCAACACAUCAACUGCAAUGCCAUGCAAGCCACAUACUGUCGAGAAGCCACAUGAACGGUUGAUUAAAGCGGUAAAAUCAAUUUCAAAUAAAGCAUUGGUUGCCUCCAUUGAUGAUAUAAGCUCAGUUGUCAGUAUGGUUGAUAGGAUAGCUGGAUCUGCACCAGGCAAUGGAUCAAGAGCUGCUGUUGGUGAGGAUUUGGUCGCAAUGACAAAAUGUCGCUUGCAAGCAAGAAACUUUUUCACACAAGAUGGACCUACUGGAACAAAGAAAAUGAGGCGCUCUACGAGUGCAAUGCCUUCCAAUGUUGUUUCAUCUGUUGGUAGUGUGAAUGACAGUAUGAGGCAGUUAAACGGUUCUGAUGCCUUUGAAUUGGAAUCCACAGCUACAUCAAGUAUCAAAAGGGCAAGGAAUGAGGUUUUUCCAUUUCCUUGUCCAUCAUUAUUGAUCUAAAACAAUUUUUUGUCUAAAACAAUUGAGCCAAUGCAUAGUUUGUAUAUGUGGAAGUUACUAUCUCCAUGUUUGCUUAGGAUUGCAAGCUAUAUGCUUUUCUUAUCUUACUCCAUGGUAGAUUAACUAAUGGUGAAGGGAAGCUAACCGUCUCAUUCCAUCUAAAAUUUGAUGAUGUUAGAAGAGAUGUUAGCACAUCUAGUUUUAGAAUCUUACAUGCUUCCUUUGGUCAGGGUCUGAUAUGUUUGUUUUCCCAAAGUGCAAUAGACAAUGUGAUGUAGAACCGCAACCCAGGAUUCACUGUACCUACAUUGAAGUUGUCCGGAGCACCUUGUGGCUCUGAAGGAGAUAUGCUAUGCUAUUUGCCUCCCUCCCAUUUUUGGAAUUAAACCUGUGGGAAUUGUUUGAACAUAUUAAUGGUCUCUUUAUGUGGCAUAAUUCUCUUGCAAGUUGGCAAUUCAAUAUUUUUAAGUUUUCAAUCUCCUGAAUCACUUCUUUGUAUUAUUGAUUUUCAAAAUCAGGUUUUUGCUCUUCUCCUCCUCUUUGAUUCUUCUGCUGCUUUCCUCUCAUAUAUUCUUGUUCUCUGCCAUGGGCGAAGGCAAUGAGGAUACGUUGUUUCCAGACUGCUGGUUUGUGGCAUCUUUGAUUCUUUGUUGCAGCCUCUUGGUUUUAUUUGCUUUAGUUGAUCAUAGCAUUACUAUGUAACGCUCUGCUUUGGUGCUUUAUAAACUGGUAAGCCUGGAAUAAAACAUACUAGUGUUCAAGGCACACACUUUUGUGCAACCAGUAGGAAGAAUAUUAUAAAAAAUUUUGAGUAUAUUUGUCGAAAUCAUUUUCAGUAGAGUUGGUUUUAUAUAUUUGAUGAUAUAAUAGUAGAAAAUUCACCAAAAUAAAGUGUUUAAAUGGAUAGUUAUUUGGUAACCAUAAUUAGGAGUUGCUAAUAAAAAUUAGGGUUUAUAAAUAAGUGGAAAUUAGAAUAAAAAGAAAUACAUGGUACUUUGUAAGAGGAUAUAAGGUAGCGGUUUAGGAAGAAGAUAAGGUGACACAAAAUUGUUUACACUAGAAGUCCCCUCCCCCUAUAUAGCAUAGAUUUCUGUUCUGAACAGGAAAGUUUAUUGUUUUUAAACAAAUACCAAUCAACAUGAAGUCUGAAAAUCAUCACGCUGAUUUUCUGUUAUCCAUUCUUAGUCAUCUGAAACUAGCAUAGCUUAUUAGAUGUGUCUGGCAUCCAAGCCAGUUGUGGAUGUUUUUGUAUUUAGUGUAGAUGCCUCUCCAGAUGCUUAUCAUUGGACUUAUGUGGAUUUCUGUCAAUGAUGCACUUAUUUACUGAUCGAACAAUUUGUGACUGGUUGAAGGCCAACCAUGCCCUUGUGGAAGAGAUACAUGAGAUAAAUCGACGCCUCAUAGAUACUGUGGUUGAUAUCAGCAAUGAAGAUGUUGAUCCAACUGCAGUAGCUGCUGCAGCUGAUGGUGGUGAAGGGACCAUUGUCAAGUGCUCUUUCAGUGCUGUAGCUCUUAGCCCAAACCUGAAAUCACAGUAUGCUUCAGCACGGACGUCACCAAUUCAGCCUCUGCGAUUGCUCAUUCCAACUAAUUAUCCUGAUUCCUCUCCUAUACUCUUGGACAAGUUUCCAGUUGAAGUUAGUAAAGAGUAUGAAGAUCUUUCUAUUAAAGCCAGGUCCAAGUUCAGUAUAUCACUGAGAAGUCUUUCACAGCCUAUGUCACUUUUGGAGAUGGCAAGGACGUGGGACAUUUGUGCUCGUGCAGUUAUUUCAGAAUUUGCACAACAAAGUGGUGGAGGAACUUUCAGCUCAAAAUAUGGGACUUGGGAGAACUGUGUGAGUGCAGUUUAGUGAUCAGCGGUAUUUCAAGUGGAACUACAGGAAUUAGAACGAUAAUGAUUUGGACAAUCGUACUUUCAGCUGUUUCUUUUCAAUGAAGUUUGCAUUGAUCAUGAUUGUUUAUAGCUUCUCAAUGAAGGUUGUAGAACCCAAUGGCAGUAGAGAUACAAAACCAUCUAGUAUACAAUUGGGAAGGUAAAACUUUGUACUGCAUGUGAGUAUUCUGAGUGCCAGUUGAGUAAUUAUUCUAAGUAGUGCUAAAUGCUGAAUUUAUUGCGAAGUGUGUCACAAUUUCAUUGUUU